GACGAACGCUGGCGGCGUGCCUAAUACAUGCAAGUAGGACGCACAGUUUAUACCGUAGCUUGCUACACCAUAGACUGUGAGUUGCGAACGGGUGAGUAACGCGUAGGUAACCUGCCUAUUAGAGGGGGAUAACUAUUGGAAACGAUAGCUAAUACCGCAUAACAGUAUGUAACACAUGUUAGAUGCUUGAAAGAUGCAAUUGCAUCGCUAGUAGAUGGACCUGCGUUGUAUUAGCUAGUAGGUAGGGUAAUGGCCUACCUAGGCGACGAUACAUAGCCGACCUGAGAGGGUGAUCGGCCACACUGGGACUGAGACACGGCCCAGACUCCUACGGGAGGCAGCAGUAGGGAAUCUUCGGCAAUGGGGGGAACCCUGACCGAGCAACGCCGCGUGAGUGAAGAAGGUUUUCGGAUCGUAAAGCUCUGUUGUUAAGGAAGAAACGAGUGUGAGAAUGGAAAAGUUCAUAACUGUGACAGU
rnacentral:rRNA from 1 species